ACACGACUACAUUAGAUACCCCCGUAGUCCCAGCCCUAAACGAUGCGCGUUAGGUGUAUCGGUGACCACGAGUCACCGAGGUGCCGAAGGGAAACCGUGAAACGUGCCGCCUGGGAAGUACGGUCGCAAGGCUGAAACUUAAAGGAAUUGGCGGGAGAGCACCACAACGGGUGGAGCCUGCGGUUUAAUUGGACUCAACGCCGGGAAGCUCACCGGAUAAGACAGCGGAAUGAUUGCCGGGCUGAAGACCCUGCAUGACCAGCUG
rnacentral:rRNA from 1 species